AGUGAACGCUGGCGGCAGGCCUAAUACAUGCAAGUCGAACGGCAGCACAGUGGAGCUUGCUCCAUGGGUGGCGAGUGGCGGACGGGUGAGGAAUACAUGGGAAUCUGCCCAGUCGUGGGGGAUAACGUAGGGAAACUUACGCUAAUACCGCAUGCGCCCUUCGGGGGAAAGCCGGGGACCUUCGGGCCUGGCGCGAUUGGAUGAGCCCAUGUUCGAUUAGCUAGUUGGCGGGGUAAAGGCCCACCAAGGCGACGAUCGAUAGCUGGUCUGAGAGGAUGAUCAGCCACACUGGGACUGAGACACGGCCCAGACUCCUACGGGAGGCAGCAGUAGGGAAUAUUGGACAAAGGGCGCAAGCCUGAUCCAGCCAUGCCGCGUGAGUGAAGAAGGCCCUCGGGUUGUAAAGCCCUUUUGUCCGGGAAGAAAAGCAUCGGGCUAAUACCUCGGUGUUCUGACGGUACCGGAAGAAUAAGCACCGGCUAACUUCGUG
rnacentral:rRNA from 1 species